CUUACACAGAGGUAAAGACGUGUGAGAUUAAAGGAGGCCUAUUUCAGCAGUCAGGUCCCAGCGUGCCUAAAAAUAUUUACCUGACCUCAGCAGCACACGAGGCCUCUAUUUAGGUUAUUGUGCUGCCUUGGCCAUGUCACUGACCACGAAAAAUGUAACGACGGAGAAUUGCAGGGUCAAAAGACGGCUUGGUCUAUUAAGCUCCGUCUCUUUUAUCGUAGGUAAUAUAAUAGGGUCAGGAAUCUUUAUAUCACCCAGAAAUGUCUUGGCAAAAACCCAGUCCGUUGGUCUUUGUCUGGUCACGUGGGUAUUGUGUGG
rnacentral:lncRNA from 1 species